UACCAUAAUUCAUUUUUAGUUUCAUUUUGGCAAUCUUAAAUAGGGUUUACAGACUUGGACUAUUGGACUAUUAAUCGGUAGUGGGUACAUAUGCGUUUCAUUUAGUGGUUUGCAUUACUAAUAUCAUUUCCCUGUCUACAUUCUCCUCAUUUCUUUUUGGUUAAAUAGGCUUUGGUGAAGUGAAUUAGGAAACAGAAAUACAAACAGAAUUACUACAUUACCAAGGUAUUUCCCUCAUUUCAUUACUGAGGUAAUUCCCUAUUCAUUCUUAAGACAAUCGCACAACAUGUUUAAUAUUUACUUUGAAUGCCGUCAAAGGCAUCACCUUUUUAGUAUUUGAAUGAUUUCAACGCCAUCGUGGUCAAUAUUAAGCAUGUACUUGCUUUUGCUUUCCAAACGGUGUUUCCAAAUAAAAGUAUCUCCGGUGGUAGGUAUCUCAUUCUCUUUCAUUUUUAGUUUCAUUUUGGAUGCAAAUUUUUCUUCUUUUUGUUAGAUUAUGUCAUGGAAGCUUUAGGUGGAGUUUUUUUUCACAGUAAGUAGAAUAGAAAAGGAAGGUCAUGCCCAAAGACUUACGAACUAAGGCAAAACACCAGAAACAGAGACGGGAAAGCAUAGAAAUGGUACAACAAAAAUAAUAGCAAAAAGUGACUGCAUGAAGGGGUUUGGUGCAGUGAAUUAGUGGAGCAUUCAAACAAAAAUACAAACAGAAAUACUGCAUUACUAAGGACGGCGAUAUGAGUUCAUGAUAUGAAGAACCGUCAAGUGUAUCAAGGCCAGUUGAAGUUCUUGGAUUGUUUUUAUACUUUUUACUUAGCUUUUAGUUGCAACUAAAUUAUAAGGAUCUUCUAUGUUAUUUAUUACUUUUUUUUUUUUUACAAAUUCUAGAUAAAUACUUUAAAUUAC